rnacentral:lncRNA from 1 species
CGCCUCACCCACCAUACUGUCAGCCACUAAGGUUGAGCCAGCUUGACCUUCAGUGCUGCUUCUGAUGGAGGGUCCCCCCCCGCCUCUCUUCCCCAGCACCCCCACAGACAGCAGCAGCAGCAGUUCUCAUCCCUGGACGACAAACCCCAGUUCCCAGGGGCCUCGGCAGAGUUUGUAGACAAGCUUGAGUUCAUCCAGCCCAAUGUCAUCUCUGGCAUCCCCAUCUACCGUGUCAUGGACCGCCAGGGCCAGAUCAUCAACCCCAGCGAGGACCCCCACCUGCCCCAGGAGGAGGUGCUGAAACUGUACAGGAGCAUGACGCUGCUCAACACCAUGGACCGCAUCCUCUAUGAGUCCCAGCGGCAGGUGGGUAGGGAGAGGCUGGGCAGCUGGGUGGGAUCACCUCCGGUUUCCUAUCUUGUUAUGGUUGAAGGAGCACACCUGGGAGGAAGCCUGGUUUGUGGGUCUCCUGAGAGUUCUUGGGGUUCUCUCAAGGCUCUGGAAAAAACGUGGAAAGGCUUUCAUUCAAGGACACUAAAAACCUGCCGUAUGCACAGCUGAGAGAAGCAGCUCCCACGUGGGCUACAUAAAACAGCGCUCUCCAGAGAAUAGAUGCCGCGUGAAAGGUUUUUCCCUCAGCUGCAAGCCCAUGGGGUCCUAUUUGCAGACAGAGAUGAAUCCAGGGUCUCAAAAAACCACCAGACUAUUUCUCUCCAUGUGUAUUUUCUUUUCUUUUUUUUUUUUUUUUUUUUUUCUUUUCUCCCUUGCCUUGGGUUUUUUUUUUUUUUUUUUUUUUUUUCCUUUUAGAAACAGUGUCUCCCUAUAACCCCAAAUGGCCUGAAACUCAACUAUGUAGACCAGCUGUGAGUUCAAGGCCAGCCUGGUCUACAUAGCAAGCCUCCCGAGUGCUGGGAUUAAA